UUUCACUGUUUCAGUCAGACUGCUGUAAAAACGCAAAACAAGGGAAAUAGGGAAAGAUCGGCGCUUGCUCCUGCCUCGGAGAUCAUCGCUCUCUUUUCAAGACGGGGAAGAAGAGAAAGAAAUUCUCAUCUCUUGCCUUAACUUAGAGAAGCGAACAAGUGGCAGGGGGAUGGAAAUUAUUCUAGUUGAUGGCAAGGACAAAAGAAAAAUUGAGGGGUGAAGUAUUCUUGUUGUCUCUAGGGUCACUUCUCUUCAUUAGGUUGACCCUGGAGACAAAUUGAGGGGUGCAGCUCUUCUUGUAAGAUCCCAAUGAAGAGAUGGGGUAUGACAUGUGUCAAAUUAUAGGUGGAUGCAAUAUUGCAGUUUGUUGGCUACUACGUGUCAAGUAACUAGUGAUUGCUUAAGGCUUGAGGAAACAGUUCAACUAGAAAGAUAAGGUUAUGCAUUUUUUUUAUCAGAAUUCUAUCCCCGGUACUGAAAAGAUUCAAUCUUGACCUGUGGCCAUGUUGCCUAAUUAAGCAUGGAAUUGUAAUAUUAUUUAUCUCCAAGUAAUAUAAUUACCGCAAGCAAGAUUACUGCUGUGAAUUAGCACAUCUCUGGAGUUCUGUAGGUGGAUUCCAUCUGUAUUAGGACUGUUGCCUGGUGAUGAGAUGCUUAUAUCGUGUACCACGACUCCCAUGCAAUUGUCGAACUUGAGGUGGCACUGAGGACUGUUUUGAAUUGUAAUGCCUGUGACUGUGGCAUUGAAACUUCCAUAAAAUCUUAGUGCCUGUGAAAAGAAAAAUAUUCCCAUCAUGUUAUGUGACUGCAUAGUCAUGAGCUAUAAUAGAAACUUAGUUGUUGAGUGGUCCUUACUGUAGGCUUGAUGCUUGGCAUUUUCUUACUGAGUUCACUUUUUAUCUGCCACUCAAUUUGGAAGAGAAUUAUGAUCAGAUGCAGACAAUACAAAAAUGUAAUUACAGUUGAAGUACAAGCUGAAGGUAAUUACUGGCAUUGGUGGGUGUUCUUCUAUUGUAUUGUUUAGUGGAAUAAUGAGCUUUGUUUCAUCAUCUACAGGAUCGUUAAGUGGAUAAUCUUGCCACCACACUGAGCCACUCCCAUCAAUAGUGCCUGUUCCCUGAAUUGUAAUUCCCUUAAGCUUUGUGAAUUCAAUCCACCAUAAAAGACCUUUACCCCAAAUAUAGGAAUUUGUUGGGGCAAUAAUUGUUCCAUCCAGCUGAGAAAAAUUUCAAUAGAAUAUUAUAUGGACCAGAGAACGAAACGGGUCCCACAAGGAAUACAUAUUCUGCUGGAAUGAGCAUUGUUGAUGCCUCCACCUUACAAGCAGCUGCCCAUGCAGCCUGGAACGCCUGUGAUGCACCAAAACACACCAUUUAUUACUAGCACCAAAAUCAAGCACAUUAAAGGUUGCAGAGCCUUUGAUUGGUGAUGUUGAUGGUGGUGUAUAGUCUUUUGGUGGCUUAGGAGCAGGAGGCAAUGGAGCUUUAUGGGAUGGAGGUUUUGGUUUUUGUUUUGACCCUCCAUUAUGGUUAUGGUUGCUGCUCCUGCUACCAUGGUUUUUUCCUUUCUUUUUGUACAGAGAAGCUGAAGUAGGUCUGUGUCUCCAAUGUCUGCCUCUUCUAGCAAUGCAAGUAUCAAAACUUGAAGACCAAACUAGGAAAGCAAUGAAGAGCAUAAAUGUGAAGCUUCUGAAACUAAAGCCACCCAUUUUCAGUGUAAAAUGAAUGGCUGAAAAGAAACAGGGAGAGACAGAAAGAGAAAGAAAGAAAGAAAGAGAGAGAAUGUGUUUGUACUUCAAAAAAUAAGUGGAAGGUUACGUUUAUAUAAGGAGGGAAGUCCAAAACUUAUGAGACUACUGCAUUUCUAAAUGAAAAUUGGUUAUCCUGAAUCUUUUUUGAUUA